rnacentral:rRNA from 1 species
UACGUAGGGCGCAAGCGUUAUCCGGAAUUAUUGGGCGUAAAGAGCUCGUAGGCGGCUUGUCGCGUCGACUGUGAAAUCCCGCGGCUCAACUGCGGGUCUGCAGUCGAUACGGGCAGGCUAGAGUUCGGUAGGGGAGACUGGAAUUCCUGGUGUAGCGGUGAAAUGCGCAGAUAUCAGGAGGAACACCUAUGGCGAAGGCAGCUCUCUGGGACGGUACUGACGCUGAGACGCGAAAGCGUGGGGAGCGAACAGG